CUGUAGUCAAUUUAAGACAACUGUGCUUUUCCCUUGAAGGGUGAACCCUGUGUGCAAUGCCUGCAGACAACAGGUAGUUUUUCUGCUGCCUCUUGUCUGUGUGGGCUGUCCUAAGGGUCCUUGGAGACAGAC